CGCUCCCGACGGCGGCGCCGGAGUUCCUCCACGCCGCAGCCCGCAGACCGGAGGAGGCCUUGGCGUCUGCUCCACAUGGUGGAGCUGGAGGAGAUGCGCAGACCCCACAGUGGAGGGAGGGGCUCCGCGGAGAAAGAAAGAAAAUGUUCAACCUGACCCCGGCCUGGCCUCGGAGGAUCACAGACACCAAGUUCCCACCCCCAACACACCCUAGACAAAUAUUCAAAGUCACCCCAGCUCUAGGAAGACCUGAGGCUCCUGGAUUUUAAUUACACGUCACUCUGAUGGGCUGACUACAGGCUGGCUGUUUUAUUCUCUCGCUGAACGCUCUCCUGAACAAUUUACUCCCUCUCUCCUGGGGAAGAAAAUGAAACGAUUUCACUGUUAUAUACAAAAGGAGUCGCAUUGUUUUUGGAUAAAUUCAGUCAUCAAAUGUUGAUCUCCCCUAGUCAGCUAGAUACUGCUUGAUUAAAAGAGGUGGAACAUGAUGGCAGAGGAGGACCUAGAGAGGGUUGAAUUGUUAUGUGGAAAACAGAAAUGUUAUGCAUGUACAAACUAUUGUAUUUGCUGUCGACUGUAAAACAUUAAUCUCCCAAUAAAGGAAAAAAUUAAUUUAAAAUAAUAAAUAAAUAUAGUUAGUGUUUUAAUAAAC